ACGACCUUCACAACGGGACGGAGCUAACGUAAUUAACGUUAACGGUUACUUGGAAAUUCAAACAGUAACGGUCAUCUGACAACUGCGCUGAGCCAAAGGACGGGAACAGCAACAAGAGUUUAACUUCUGAUUCGUAAUCUACACACUCUACUGGGCAGUUCAUGAAGACAGAUAGAUGUUGUGCCGACCAGGACAGUUCCUCCUACCACACCAGACUUUGCUGUAUAUGGAUGCCUGACCACUAGCACUGGACAUUUACAACAUUUUGGCGCCAGGGAUCCCUUGCAGAGAAGAUUUUUCAAAGACACCCUCAGAAUUACAACAGAUUUUAAGGCUUAAAAUUAUUGUGGGUGGGAGUCAGGAAAAAACACAUAAGUUGCAUCCGUGUAUAAGACACAUUUUACUAUUAAUUUCAGAAAUAAUUUAAAUACUGAUAAAUAAAACAAACGUUAAGAAACUUAAAAACUAUGAACACUGUAAAGAUUUUAUUUUCCCUCACUUCAAAUCAUUUAAAUUGAAUACUAUUCAAAACAGAAUAAAAAUAAAAAUAUUUAGGCCUAUGUAUAAAAUAAAAAAAAUUCUAGUGCCAUUAUUUACAAGCAGUAUAUCUUUUGUUAAUUAAAAUGCACUUGCUAUCUCAGUUUCUGUGAACCUCAUUCUGAAAUGUAGAAAACACAGUGGUACAGACAAUACCACUGUGUACAGACAGGCUUGUCACACAGACAUGAGAACUAUACUUAUAGAAACCUGUAAGUGCCCGCUUUU
ensembl:lncRNA